CACCAGCAGCUCAAGUGGUGAUCGCGUUUACUGGGUUUAAGGCGUGCGUAGUCGGUUCGGCAAGUCUUCUGUGAAAUCCUAAGGCUUAACUUUAGGGAUUGCAGAAAAUACUACCGGGCUUGAGGCCGGGGUAGGUGUGGGGUAUUCUUGGGGUAGCGGUGAAAUGCUAUAAUCCCUGGAGGACCACCCGUAGCGAAGGCGCCACACUGGAACGGGCCUGACGAUGAGGUACGAGAGCUAGGGGA
rnacentral:rRNA from 1 species